rnacentral:rRNA from 1 species
UAAGCAUAUGACUAAGCGGAGGAAAAGAAACUAACCAGGAUUCCCCCAGUAACGGCGAGUGAAGCGGGAAGAGCUCACGUUGUAAAUCUGGCCUUCGGGCCCGAAUUGUAGUCUGGAGAGGCGUGGCCAGCCGUCGACCGAGGCGAAGUCUCUUGGAAAAGAGCAUCAAGGAGGGUGACAAUCCCGUUCUUGCCCCGGAUCCGACGCGCGUACGGCCCGUUUUCCAAGAGUCGAGUUGCUUGGGAUUGCAGCUCAAAGCGGGUGGUAAAUUCCAUCUAAAGCUAAAUACGGGAGGGAGACCGAUAGCGAACAAGUACCGUGAGGGAAAGAUGCAAAGAACUUUGAAAAGAGAGUUAAAGAGUGCCUGAAAUUGCUGAAAGGGAAGCGAAGGAAAGCAGUGUCUGGCGGUCUCGCUUCUCCUUGAUCCCUCGGGGUCUCGGUCCGCGUUUCCGCCGUAGCCAGCGCCGGGUUGGGUUGCGGGACGCUUCGCCUCGGAAGGUAGCCUGUCUUCGGAAGGUGAAUACCUUGGCGUUUUGUCGCGACCCGGGCCGCGUGCUGACGAAAUGUUUUUCUUUACCCCGUCUUGAAACACGGACCAAGGAGUCUAACA